AUGACAAUGUCUGAAUCUUUUUUCUUUGCAAUGGUUGCCCUCUCAAACUACAUGAUUGGUGGGCAUACAAAGGUUAAAGUAUUUCUACCAGAACACGAUGAUUAUCUACAUGUUUUCAUGAAGACCGUGAAGAUGGGCUGUCGGCCAUCACAAGGGGUUGGACUAGAGUCGUGUGUGCCUUCUGCAUGGAGGAGGGCACAAUACGGGCAUUCCGCUUCACCUUGUUCAGCAACCAGAAUAUAUUUCGCCUCUUUCUUUACCGUCUUUAAUAGUAGAAGUAUACAACUGUGGUUCAUCAUUCUUUAUUUGGUUCUUAUGUAA
rnacentral:rRNA from 1 species